CAGAAGUUUCAGCUCCCCAUGUGGUCCCCACUGACACAGUGGGCAGGAAGGGGCUCAUUACCAGACAGCCUGAGGAAAAGUCCCAGAUCCCUGCUUGGCCUUCCUUGAUACCAUCCUGAAACAAGAUAGCAGAUUGGUGAUCCAGUGGUGACCAGGUCUACAUGGUUUGUGAUGAGCCAGAACACCCAGGUCCUAGAACUACACAUCCCAUUACCUACAUUGCAGGACUCCAGUGGAAAUAUCAUUGUUUGGAGAAUAGCCAACUGACAAUGUUAUUCCUCCUCAAAGGGAGAAACUUCUUUAAAUCUGCAAGAAUUUUACUCUGUACCUUUGAUGUGAAAAUUUCAUCAUCUGUUUCUGGGAAAGCUUGCUACGUUAUAUAAGAAUAUAAAGAAAGAAAUGAAGAGAGGCCACCAGUCUCAACUUUUGCAAUCUACAGAUUUCAGCUUCAAAGCAAAAACGACAGAUUAAUUUCUCAAGUCUUGAAUUUUACUUGGAAGGAAAACAACAUUCAGAUCUUAUUUGCAUCUGAUGGCUCAGUUUUAUAAAUGGCAAAGCCAUAAGCUUGUGCACAGAACUCCUUCUGGGACUGGCAUCUGUGCUCAUGCACUGCAUCCUAAAAGUGGUGAAGAGCUUUCUACCUAUAUCUACUUUUUGAAAGAUGUCACUGUGAAAUGUGUUAUUGCCUGAUAGCAUGUGAAUAACAUCCUCAGCCAGAACCCUGGAAUCCUUUGCUGUUUGGGACAAUUCACCCUCCCAUAAUUGCAAUCUUUGUGAGCCUAGCCACUCUUCUGCAUAAGGUCAUAGCCCAGAAUGAUCCAC
rnacentral:lncRNA from 1 species